rnacentral:tRNA from 1 species
GCGGACGUGGCGGAAUGGUAGACGCCGGGGACUUAAAAUCCCCUGAGCUAUGCUCGUGCGGGUUCGAGUCCCGCCGUCCGCA